CCAUUGGAUAUCAUGGAUAGCAUUUUACAAUUCAUAGUAUUUUAAGCAUGCACAUAAUUAAAAGCAACUCAAUUUGAAGGUCAUUCAUUGAAAGUCAAAGAGUAUAUAUAUAUAAUCAAAAAGUGACUGAUACCAUAUAGUUGUUCCAAUACAUAUACCAAAAUGCAAAAGUCAAUCAGUCAACAUCAUUACAUGGCUCAAAAGAUAGAUCCUAGAAUGAAACUAAAGACAAGACUAACUACAAGGAUCUAGUAGAGAUCAUGACUGGAUGGAUCAGAGUCAGAUGAAUUGGAGAUGGGGAGGGGAGAUGAAGGAUCACGACCAAGGGCUCGUCCUCUACCCCGUCUGCCUCUGCCACGAGUGGAGGUGCCGGCACGAGUGGGCGGGUGAGAUGAUCCUGAAGGCUGAGAAGCAACAGACUGAACUGCAAGAGAGAGUCUGAUGUUGUCCAAAAGGUUUAGAGCUCUCGAAACAGACUGUAGCAGUGCAGUGAACUGGGUGGAUGCAUGCUCACUAGAGCCUCUGAUCUCUCUCCUCAGGAAAUCAAAUCCACUCUCCAAAACUCCUCUAAGUCUGGCUGCCUCCGUAGAUAGGUCUGAGACCUUAGUGAUGCACUCCUGUGGCUGUGGAUGUGCCAGAGCUAACACUUACCCCUGCAAGUCAAGUACCCUCCCAGUCAGUCUCAAUAUAUAACCCUCAAGCUACUGAAUGCGAACUGACUGAUCUGAAAUCAUCUGGAAGAUAGUGGAGAUGUGAGGGAUCAAAGUCUGAUCAGAUACAUCAUGUGAUGUGGAUCCCUGUGCAAAAGCUGAAGUGCCCAACUGUCAAGAA
rnacentral:lncRNA from 1 species